AAAUUUGAUAUUGAAAAGAAAAUAAAGAAACAAAUUGAGAUAAUUUCUUCAUUGCAAUGUAAACUUUUAGUUUCACAAAGGGUGAAAACCCUUUUACAUAUACAUGCAUGUAGGUAUAUAUAAUGUCUCACCAUUCUCUUGUGAAUAGUGUAAAACUGAAAGCAUAGAGAAAAAUAAAGAAGGAAUUUUGAACUUUUUUUGUUUUUUUUUUCUUCUUAGAGAAAAAUUCAAGAGAAAACUGGAGGAAGACUAACCAUGGAUUCUCUACUCACAAUCAUUUUCUUUAAAUAUUUCAAUUUGCUAAUAAAUUGUUUGUGAACCCCACCUUUGGCAACAGAAAAUGUUAAGAAUAUGCUCUUUUUUAGCGUAUUUAAUCUCCUUCCAAUCUUGACCUUCAACUUGUAGAAUUUCACUUUCAGCCAUAGGACAUUCUUUCUCUUAGACACAACAGAAUCUGCUUUAUUUAGUGACUUGUAAAUCAAGAACUGUGCUUUUCUAUGUUUUAUAUCUUCAGGAUCUUCUCUUUCAAUCUUGGAAUAAACAUGUUGUUUAUUGAGAAAAGUAGUCAUUUAUAGGAAAUUGAAUAUUUUAUGGUAUAAGAAAAAUAGAAUAGAAGAGCUUCAGAAAAUUAAAUAUGGGAAUUUAAACACUUAGAAGUGAGGGUGAGAAAUGGA
rnacentral:lncRNA from 1 species